AUUGAACGCUGGCGGCAGGCCUAACACAUGCAAGUCGAACGAGUGGCGGACGGGUGAGUAAUGUCUGGGAAACUGCCCGAUGGAGGGGGGUAACUACAGGAAACGGUAGCUCAUACCGCAUACCCUCUGAUGUGUCCCGAUGGGAUUAGCUCGUAGGUGGGGUAACGGCUCACCUAGGCGACGAUCCCUAGCUGGUCUGAGAGGAUGACCAGCCACACUGGAACGGAGACACGGUCCAGACUCCUACGGGAGGCAGCAGUGGGGAAUAUGGCACAAUGGGCGCAAGCCUGAUGCAGCCAUGCCGCGUGUAUGAAGAAGGCCUUCGGGUUGUAAAGUACUUUCAGCGGGGAGGCGUUACCCGCAGAAGAAGCACCGGCUAACUCCGUGCCAGCAGCCGCGGUAAUAC
rnacentral:rRNA from 1 species